UACAGAGGUCUCAAGCGUUGUUCGGAUUCAUUGGGCGUAAAGGGCGCGUAGGCUGCGGGGCAAGUCGGGUGUGAAAUCUCAGAGCUCAACUCUGAAACUGCACUCGAUACUGCUUUGCUCAGGACUGGAGAGGAGAUUGGAAUUCACGGUGUAGCAGUGAAAUGCGUAGAUAUCGUGAGGAAGAACCAGUGGCGAAGGCGGAUCUCUGGACAGUUCCUGACGCUGAGGCGCGAAGGCCAGGGGAGCAAACGGG
rnacentral:rRNA from 1 species